ACUACCCUCCGCUUUCGGGGACACGCGAGAGGGCAAGCCUCGGCCAUGCCGAAAAUCAAAUCAAGCACGCGACCGGUAGGCCAUAAGGCCGAAAGCCGCCA
ncrna:unclassified sequences RT-19 RNA